GAUGAACGCUAGCUACAGGCUUAACACAUGCAAGUCGAGGGACCGGGGCACGGGUGAGUAACACGUAUACAACCUGCACUUUACUAGGGGAUAGCAUUUCGACAGAAAACUUAAUACCCUAUCGAACGGCUGGGGAGGCGUUGCAUGAGGUUGUUGGUGAGGUAACGGCCCACCAAGCCUUCGAUGGAUAGGGGUUCGGAGAGGAAGGCCCCCCAGAUUGGAACUGAGACCCGGUCCAAACGCCUACGUGAGGCAGCAGUAUGGAAUAUUGGUCAAUGGGCGUUAGCCUGAACCAGCCAAGUAGCGUGAAGGAUGAAGGCUUAUGGAUCGUAAACUUCUUUUAUAUAAGAAGAGGUAUUAUAUGAAUAAGGAUCGGCUAACUCCGUGCCAGCAGCCGCGGUAAUAC
rnacentral:rRNA from 1 species